rnacentral:lncRNA from 1 species
ACCACUCUAGUCCACAAUUUUCAUGCUAGUAUGAUUUUUUUCAAAACUAUUUUGCAUUGUAUUCGAGAGAGAAAUGUAUACAAGCAGUUGUCCCAUUAAGAGUCCCUUACACUCAUUAUUGGGGGAUAUGUGUGAGGGGUACUGUAGCUCUCUUCGUAUCCCUUAUCUCAGUUCGUCUCUCUUUUGUUUUCUUCCAAGCCGUGGUCCCUUCACAAGUGCCAUUCAUGUCCCAGCCACUCCUACAUAUGCAUGCAGUACUAUUUACAUUGAUAUAGAAUCAUUUUUUCCCCAAGGAAUCGACAUGACAACUUGGACCUAUGUAUUCCAUGACUUCUUGGUACAAAAGAAUUCCUCUGCUCUUGCCCAAUGUGACAACGCAAGAACGGUCCCAGACACUUCAGCUAUUGUAGUGACCCCUUCCAGUCCUCUUAAGCAAAGCUUUAUAUAUGCAUGUGCAUGUGGGCAUGCAUAGCUAAAUUGAUCCUCAUAAUUAAUUUUGUUUUUGGAUUUUUUUUGUCCUUGUGCUUUUAUAACAGUAACUCGACCAAUCAAGGCAAAACAUCUGAACUCCUGCCUAGCUAUUCGAGGAAAACAACUCUCUCAUGGUGUACCAAACAAUUAAUACUAACUAGCUAGGAAAAAAUAUUUAGUAUAUAUAUAUGGGUUAAUUAAUUAGGUAUAUCUUCGGUUGCAUCGUAUGAACAACAAUUAUUGUGCCCAGCCAGUAGGUACACCAAUGAUUCCAAGUCCUUGUGUGGUAUAUAUCCAAUAAAUUGUUAAUGUAUGUAGCUAGCUAAGUGCUGAAUCUACUUUGAUCCAUAUGGAAGGAUAUCUCUCCUUUAAAAUUGAACAUUUGGUCUAACUUUCUCAGCGCAAAAAUUGUUGUUUUUAAGAACGCUUUGAUUACAUCUACCUUGUCAACAUUGUGUGUAUAACUGCAAAGCACUUAAUAAUAAUAAGCAACUACUGGUACACUUUUAUGUAACCAACCAUGCAUGACUUCAUCUUCAAGCCAAAUGCCUAGUUUGUCCAUACGUUUUAGUUUAUUUGUCUUUAGUGCCAUCUACUUUUAAUUCAUUUUCAGAGUACCUAUGUGUGCAAAUUAAUAAUUAAAGUAGAUAGCUAGGAAGAUUGCUUGAAAGAACAGAAAAGUACUGUUUUUACUUGACUAUCUCUGCAAAGAAUGUAAAAGUAACUAAAAACGUUUUAUUGACCACACAUGAUCGAUGGUUUCGGGUAUAGUUUACAGCCAGUUGCGCUAGCUGUAAUGCUUGCGUUUCUUUGCUUGUUUAACCAAUAAAAGUAGAGUAUCAUUUCUCCUCUGUUAUGUGCAUUCAUUAUUCUUCAUGAUCAAGAAAUUAUGAUACUUGGAAGAAUAUUUUACCCUUUUCUCCAGUAGCACUACUUUUGUUUUUAUGGCUAAAAUAUAGUAGUAUAUAAACUAAAAAUGUUUCUAUAGAUGACGGCUCAAUAUGUACCUGAUGAAGUGCCAUCAUCAUCGAAAUGACUAAUAUAGAUUUUACCAGUUUAUAGUUGAUAUUGUUAGGUGAACUUAAGUUUAUUUUAAAUUAUUUUACAGCCAGCUGACACGAAAAUAAAUAUUUCAUUCAAUUUUAGUAAUUUACGCCUGCCAUGAAUACACAUCCUGAAGUUGACUAGCUUAGUUUUCUGAUUAGAAAUAAGCUCAUUAUUUUCGAGGGACUUGUGCAGUUUGAACCAAUAAGGAAUUCAGCAAAGGAUUUCAUGUGCCCCACCAUAUCCUUAGGAGCCGUUACAGGAUAUUUUCAUUUCUAGCCAUAGUAGUUUAAAAAAAAGUUAAUUUGCCAGAACAGAACUAAUACUCGGCAUAUAUGAUAUGAACUUAAAUAACAACUGUUUAAGUCAAGCUACUAAUACUAAUUUAUAAGUUCAAAUAACUAAAUAAAAAAUAAAUCAGCUUUGAUAAGCUUCAGUGCUAUCAAGUUAAUUAUAUUUAUCAAGUUUACAGUUGUUGUUUUCCAUUUAGCAAAUAAAUUUUUGCCUAAAAAUAACUCAAUUAUCUGUGCUAAUUAGUACUGUUCACAUGAGCUAGGGGUAUCCAUUAUCAUGUCAUUUCUCUCUCUUUACCAUUUCACCAUGCAAAAGUAUGUACAUAUCUGCACACAUACCCAUCCAAAAACCAGAACAACUGCACAUGUUACAAAAAGAAGUAGAUCACCAAAGCAAUAUUGGGACACAAAUGAAACAAGACAGAAGGUCUGUUCGAGGGAGCUUCUUCCAGCUGCCCCAAACGGUUCACAGCUUCUGAGAAUCUGUAGUUAUAGAUUCUAAAAAAUGAACUAAGAAUCUAGUAGCCGGAGAAACUGGGUUUAGAAGCUGUUAUAGAUUCUCAGAAGCUGGCUACCAAACAGUUACUUUUCAGAAUCUAAAACUUCUCCAAACAGGCCCAAGAAGAUAAAACUAAAAACAUGACAGUUAGGACUGAGGAGUUGCCUAGCUAGCAGUAGCUCGCAUUGUGUUAGCCCUAGACGUCCCUGCACACACGCAUGCAUGCACGAAUGGCGCCAUUGCCCAUGCAUGAUGCAUGGUCCAUGCACGCAUGCAUGCCCCCCCCCCCCCCCCCCCCCCCCGCGCGUGUGGUACUGUCUCUCACUGCAAUAAUUCCUUUGGUUGGAUUUUCGAUCGAUCAACUGCAGGUCUCCAAUUGGUUCAUCAACGCCCGUGUCCGGCUAUGGAAGCCCAUGAUCGAGGAGAUGUACCAGCAAGAAUGCAAGGAGCUCGAGGGCUCCUCCGGCGCCGGCGCCGGCGGCCCCGAGUCCGGCAACGACCCCUCCGGCGCGGACGACACGCACUCCCCGACGACCACUGGCGCGCAGUUCUCGCAGCAGCAGCAGCACAGGCACCAGCUAGAACACGGCGCGUCCANNNNNNNNNNNNNNNNNNNNNNNNNNNNNNNNNNNNNNNNNNNNNNNNNNNNNNNNNNNNNNNNNNNNNNNNNNNNNNNNNNNNNNNNNNNNNNNNNNNNNNNNNNNNNNNNNNNNNNNNNNNNNNNNNNNNNNNNNNNNNCCGGCGACGUGUCUCUCACGCUGGGCCUGCAGCACGCCGGCGCGGGCAACGCGGGGCCCGACGGCGGCGGCCGGUACUCCUUGCGAGACUACAGUGGUUGCUGAUCGAUUCCUCAUACACCCUACCCAUGAUUUGGCUCAUCCAUCCAUCCAUACGCAUUGCAUGCACUUGGAGAGUAGAGAGAGAAAGGCAGCGAGAUCUAGAGAGAGAAAUUUGCAAUGGUGGUGCAGUGGCUGGCUGGAGGUGAUGGAUCAUUAUGCAUGCUGCAUGGGAUGGAUGGAUGGGAUAUAUUAAUAUAAGAGAACUCUCCUUCUUCUUCUUUUUCCAGCAAGAUGAUUCUUAAUUUAGCUAGAUUAAUUCCUUUAGUUAGGCAUUAUUGUUGGGGGGGUUAAGGAUAAUUUGUAUACAGGAAAGAAAGAUAGGAAGUGUAUGUUAUAGAUUGUUUAGUCACACAUUCUGUUUGCUCUCCGUUGCUUGCCCCUCUCUGCAUCUUUUGUUUUUGUCAGUUUUUGGUUUUGGUGUACUUAUAAUUAAUGUUCUUUCCCUCUCUGUAACUAAACAUAAGAAACACAUACAUACAUACAUACGUAAAUACAUAUAUAUAUUGGUAAACAUUGGGAUACAUAUAUAUGUGUGUAUUCACAUACUUGGCAGAAAUAUAUUGAAGAUAGAGAAACUCCGGUACAAGAGGGUGGCCAUGGUUGGCUGGCAUGCAUGUAACUGCGAGUUGUGCGUGCAUCUUUUCCUUUGCCCCAUCUUUUUGAAACCAAUUGAUGCCAUGUCGGCUGGGGUACGAUCGAUUUUCCUUUCGAAUCCAUAUACAGCACCCAUUUUGUGCUUUUAUCUUGUGGUUUUGGGAAUUAAAAAAAGGCAUUGCAGAGAGUAUACAAAUUGCAUUCUUUUAAUGAAUUAAAACACUCACGAAAAUAAAGUGGCUAAAUAUUUAAUGGGACGAUUUGAGAGAGCUCUCAAUUUAACCAGGAAAAUCCAAUUGUUAAUUAGGUGUACCGAUGCUGGGUAUUGUUUAGGCGAAUUGUAUUAUCAUGAAUGUAGACCGUAUGAAGAAUUUGUACAUGUUAAAUAAAAGAUGCCAAUAAUCCUAUGGAAUAAAGUAGUUUAGGCUUACUAAACUUUAAUAUUGGAAAUAAUAAAUACUCCCUCCGCCCUAAACUAUAAAACUUCUAGAAUUUCAAAUUUGUUGCAAAAUAUGACAAAUUUUACAACUAUAUUCUCUUUUCAACCAAUCGCAAGCUUCCAUCACUAAAUUUUUCACCUAUUUCACCUUAUUUACCAAUCAAAACUUUCCUCAUUUAAUUAUACCAACUUUCUUAAUACAUGUGCCUAGGCCUCCGGAGAGAAUAUGAAGCUACACAUAUCUUGGACUCUCAACUAUAUUUUAUUUAUCCCAAAAUAAGAUCAACGUAUUUUGGGACGAAGAGAGUAUUAUAAAUUAAUUCUAAAAUUUAAAAUUAAUAUUUUGCUGCUUGUAAUUGAUGUGUACUCUUCUUUUAGUGUAAGCCGUUAGAAUAAAAAAACAACGUAUGCAUUUAGUAUGUGAUUAAAAUUUUAUUAUUUGAGAUAGGAGGAAUAUCAUGUGUAAGGGGAUGCUGGACAGGAUGACAAACUAAUAUAUACUCACUCAAUCCGACAAUAAAUUCAUUUUCUCAUUUAACUUUUAAGUAGAAAGAUGAUUUUUUUAUGAGACGGAUGAAGUACUAAUUAGCUGCUUCUAGGAAAUUUACAUAUUACUAAAAAUAUCAAUUUUACCAUCAUUAAGAAAGUACCAGGAGAUACUAUAUUUUAUAUUUUUCUAGUGUAAAAUUUGGUUCCUUAAGGUAUUAAAAUUUUAAGUGUACAUUUUCGUACAUAGAAAUAUUUUCUCAAAGAUGGUUAAAUUUUCCUAAUAAAAAUGACAAAGGCAUGACAACCAAAGUAAUACUAUGUAUUGUUUAAAUCCUUCUAGAAUAUUUAUUUUGUAUGGAAGUAUUGUGUUUGACAAGGACCAAUAUCUAUAUCAGUUUUUUUUCUCGAAUGCGCAAAAGAUUUGCACGCCAAUAUCUAUAUCCGUCAAUUGCAUUUUAAUAUUAUUUUUUAUUCUCUUGAAAAUUUUCUAUUGUAGAAUGUUUGUGAUAUGUAUUAUAAUUAAUGAUAUUAACUUGUUUUCGUUUUUUUUUGGUAUCCGGAAAACUAGAAUGCAAUAAUUGUUAGGCCAAAUUUUUACUUUUUCUUGUCACAUACACGCAUGCAUAGGCCCCAUUCCACAUGUGCACCACACGUGAGUACAUUUUCUUAUCACACACUCAAAUAGAUAAAGUUCAGUGGUAAAUCCUCGAUCUUACUAAAAACAUCAUUUAAGAUACACCUACGUAUAUAUAUAUAAUUGUGGGCUUUACGAAUCAACCCUGGUCAGUUGCACCACUUGUUGGAUAACUGGCUUGCGAGGGAGUCAGCAUGGGGAGUGAUCAAGAAAGAAACAUAUAAAUUAGGUAGAGCAUUAAUAAUUAAAUAUGUAUAUAUAUAACAAGAAAUAAACAUAUAAUUAGAUAUCAUUAAUAAUUAUAAGUGUAUAUAUAUAUAUAUAUAUAAUAUAGAUGGCUGAUAGUACUAUAUUGCAUUAAUGUAGCAAUUGUCGUUUUGUCUCAGAAGAAGUUGGGUUGUCGUAUAAUUUGUGGCCCAGCUGGAACAUCCGUACACAUCAAUAAUGAAUUAUCCACACAGCUUAAUUGAUUCCUCCAAGAGAAAGGUUAAUUAAUUAAUCGUAAUUAGCUCCUCAAGGACAAAGGAUUAUUUAACCAGCUCUAACCCGCACAUGUUUGUAUACAAGCACUAAUUAAAAUUAAUCUGAGUGGCACCCAGUCACCCACACAUGCUAGCUUGCAGGAGUGUACCAAAAGUGCUUCUGAUCAUUUGUGAUAGAACAGCGCGCGCCCGAUUUUUAAAGAAAAAUGGACGUCUGGUUGCCGGUUUGUAGGUGAUUUGUUCCGAACUUUAUCUUUUUGUUUCCGUUUAUAUUUAUAAGCUAAAAUUUGAAUUUUGAACCUUAAAGUUAAUUACAAUUAAUUUUGUAACUUUUUUCAUCAUAGUUUUUUUUUCAAACUUUUGCUAUUCUAUCGGCAAUGAAGAACAUAUAUAAAAGUUUCACUAAUAAAUUACUCCCUCCAUCCCUAAAUAUUUGACACCGUUGACUUUUUUAUACAUGUUUGACCGUUCGUCUUAUUUAAAAAAUUACAUAAUUAUUAAUUAUCUUUAUAUCAUUUCGUGUAUUGUUAAAUAUAUUUUUAUGCAUAUAUAUGGUUUGACAUAUUUGACAAUUUUUUUAAUAAGACGAAUAGUCAAACACGUAUAAAAAAGUCAACGACGUUAAACAUUUAGAGACAGAGAUAGUACCUUUUACUUAUAAAUACGUCGUUUCGCUCAUGGAGAUUUCUCCAAACCGCCAAGAGAUGGCCGGGGUGCGCGCAAGCGUGGUCGUCGAGGCGGGGGAUCGAGCCGUAUCAAUGCGGGGCCCAAGCGUGGUCGUCGAGGCGGGUGAUCGAGCCGUAUCAAUGCGGUGCUCGAAAUUGUGGUUGGUGGAUCGAUCCAUCGAUCGGCGUACGGCUGGGCGCCGCGGCCGCCGGGACAGUGGCGCAUGUAGAUUCUGAUGGCCGGCGGCCGGCGCGGACGACGAUCGAAUCAAUGCGCGCAAACGCAGCAGCAGGCAAGUGCCAACCACGCAACGAACGCCCCCCUUUUCCUUCUCUGUCCAGAGUCUCUCUCUCGAUCGAUCGUCGACCUUGCGAUUGGGGCUAGCUAGCCAGCCAUGGAUGGACCACCACGCACGUACGUACCUUGUUGCCUGCCUGCCCUUCUACUUCGGCCUGGACCGACGGACCGACAGCACUAGCUCUAUACUGCUAGCAGAUAACUCAAUGAUGGCAUUGGGCAUUUGGCCGCCUAGCCGGCUGGCUGAUCGAUCAUCAUGGGGAAAGCGCUAGGUAGAUCUAUAUGAUCUCAGGUGAUCAGUGGAUGCCUAGUCGUUGUUGGUUACUCGCUCCGUUGUAAAAUAAGUUUAUUUUCUAUCUCUCGGGUACCGAUAAAAAAUAUUUAAAAAAUGUUCUACGUUUAUUAUAAAACCUUAGCACAUACAUAUCUGCCAUCGCCUCUCUUAGUAGACCACUGGGCUACCAUUCGUAAGGGGCCCUUGGUAGACGAUUUGCAAUGCCACACCAUCUCUGGCCACAUCCUGAGGUCCGCGCCUAUAAUUUUUAUGUUUUAUAAAUUCUGGAUUUACCUUCUGAAUUGUGGUGUUUGAAUUUGUGAAUUUAAAUAUGGUUGAAUUCUAUUUCUACUCCUUCAAUUGCAAAAUAUAGCAGCAUAGUACUACGAUUAUACAUGACCUAGUGCUAUAAAUCUGGACGGGUAUGGUGAAAAUAUAUCCAGAUUCAUAGCACUAUGUGUUGUUUAAUUAUAGUACUAGGUAUGGACAUAUUAGUAGUACUAGGUGAUGUCUAAUUAUAUUACUAAGUUGUUAUAUUUUGAGACCAAGAUAGUAUGCAUUUGAAAUAUUCAUAUUUUGAUUAUUGUAGGGUUAAACUAGGUAUUAACAUGCAGUGUGUGUGUUAAAAAUAGAAGAGAAAAAAUAAAUGGAAGUUGUUGCUGGAGUUGAAGGUAUUUUUGAAGGUCCUCGGUAGCCAGGUAGCGCUCUAAAAUUGAGACUGUUGCACGAGAUGCCCUUAGUCUUUAGAGCAAGUAUAAUAGCAGGCUGUAAGCCGGCUAAAUGCUAAGAUGGAAUAAAGAUAAGAGGAGGGAGGGGAGAAGCGGGUCGUAAGUUUACAACCGGCUCAGGUACAAAAACUAAUAUAUUCUGUGAGAGAGACAAGUGUGUUUCGCUGUAUGAGUGAUCUAAGAGAAUGCUACAAAGAAUAUUAAAACCAGCUUGUUAGCUAUAUUAUUGGCCUCGCUCCUAAAGGGUGUGUUCAGUGUGAGUGCUUGCGGAGAGAAUCUACAGAGGACGUACCGUGCAUACAAAGACAGCACAAGUCGAUUUAUUAAUUCUCUGGAGCCAAACUGACGGAUGACGAUCAGAUCAACUAAAUAUAAGCACAGUGCCAUGCAAGCAGCAGGCCGUAGUAGAAAGUAAAAAUGCUCCUGUUGAGACCUUCCAUUUCAGAUUCCUUGGCACCACCUGCACACAGUCAUCAACCGGUCAAGUCUCCGGCCUGGCGAGCUCUGAAUGGGUGAAUAACCGGGCACAAUUUCCUCAGAUUUGCUGUUCCAACCGCUCAACACUGUGCCGUGAUCAACAGCAAGGCUAUCUAAUGGGGUCUCGUCCUUCACCGAUCACAUCACCCGUCCUAGCAUGCAAACCCUUUUCCGGGUCACCAACAUGGCAUGAUGAUUGCAAUCCUAACUACACCACCAACCAAGUGAAAAAUGGACACACUGGCUUAUGCUACCCGUGAUACACACUGUCAGAAAUAACUCUCUUUUGGAGCACAGAAAUUAAUUUGAAGUUUCCUGCUGAUUUGUUCAAAAAAGGAUUUAAUUACCACAAGAAUCACACUAACCCCGGCCCGUUGUUCCAAAAAGACAGACAUAUUUCAGGACGGUUCUUGCAGAGAGGUUGUAGUACGUGGUGGUAUGAAAUUCAGGUUGGUUUUCAGGAAUAGUUAGCUCAGGUAACGGCAGGUGGUACUGCUGCAUGCGGCAACCAAUUUGCUGGACAUCAUGCAUGGGACAUUGUGUUUUUUUCUUCAGCCUGCAACAGAACCUUCGGGUACAGUUGCAGCUCACUUCUCCACCAAUCAAUGGACCAUCCAUUUGCCUUUAUCAUCAUCGAUCGAUUGCACAGAUGACAGAUGAGACGUCGACCCACCAUCUGGGGCUUCGGCCAGUACGUACUAGACGCACACACUGAUCACUGCACCAAACGCCCCAGCAGGCAACAACUCGCAUUGCAGUGCAGUAUCCUACCUCUUUAGAGUUUAGAAAGAACAAAGUGUGUGACAGUACGACACACCGAUCAUCUCCUAUAUAUGUUGUGAACCAAACACAGUAGCUAGCAGGCCAGCUCUUUCUAGUGGUGGACUCUCAUUCUCGCACGAAUUUUAUAGGGUUCAUACAAGACUUGUUAGUUAGAGCUUCUUCAGAACAGUAAGAAUUUUACAAAAUCUCAUAUGAUUUAGUUUAGUUCCCUCACAAUUAAUCCCUCUAAUUUUUAUUCAAUCUGAAGAAGCCAUUAACACAUGGAUUUUAUAGGAUUUUCACACGAAUUAAUUCAAACCAAACAGACAAUUUCCUGAAAUAUUAAACAAACCAGAAGAUUUCAUUUCUCAUUAUAUUUGGACCCCCAUAUUCUGACUCCAAUUCUCCCUCCGAUUCUAAAAACAUCCCGUCACCCACUCACCCCUCGAAUCCUUAGAAAUAUUACUUUAAAUUAAACACACUCAAGAAUAGCAGCAGCAAGCAAGAAAGUUAAACAUGGGAUCUAGGGUUAUGAGUGGCCUACUUGGAUGUACCGGAGGCGACAGAGAUCGACGUCCCGUCCUCCUCCUCGAUCCGUCAAUCCAAUGCCUCGUCUCACGCGUCGUGGUGCGGAAGAAGGGCUCCGGUCUUCCGCAUCGACGCCGGUGGCGAAGACGACGGCGCCGCCGCCACCGCCGCGACGACGAACGUGGGAGCCACCUUUUCAGAAUUCAGGAAUAGUUUUGUCCUCCAUAUGUAACUGGGCUGUGCGAAUUUGU